rnacentral:lncRNA from 1 species
UGUAGGAGGCAAAGACGAUCUCUAAAUAACUUAAUUAGUUGGAUAAGCAAUUAACUCAAAUUUCACAAGUUGGAGAAGAUUUUAUAAGUUUUGUUGAAGUUCUAGAGUAGAGGAAUGGACCUCAAGACGAUAGAAGCCAACCCCUAAAUGACCACAAGCUUAGGCAAAAAGCCAAAUCUUUGGACAAUUUCAAGAAUCAAUCCCAGCACCACUCGAGUCGACCCCAACAUGCUGUAAAGGACUAGUAUAUCUCCAUGAGUUGACCCCACCAACAUAUAGUCAAUCUUAGAACAAUCUCAGAAUAGAACAGAGCAUACUGAAAAACUGUCACUCUACGAGUCGACCC